CAGUUCCACGUCAAAACCAACAAUUUGGUUUUUUUCUCUCCGCGCUCGUUUCUCGCCGCAACAAAAACCUUCGUGCCCUAAAACACACAAACGUCGCGUUUUCUCUCCGCCUCUUGCCCUAACGUUUUCUCUCCGCCUCCUUACCCUCGCUCUUUCCCCUUUGCCUCUUGCUGUCGCGUUUUCCCUCCGCCUCCUUCUCUCGGUGCUUGGCGGACUUGGAUCCUUCCUUUCUCUCAACCUCUCCCCUGCCCUAAAUCUCUCCGCUCUCUGCUCUCGGCGCUCGGCGGACUUGGACCCUUCCUUUCUCUCAGCCUCUCCUCUGCCCUAAAUCUACCCUGAAUCCAGGUGAAAAAUAAUCAUGGAACAAGGAAAAAGUGAUUCAAAUGAGGUAAACGAUAACAACGACCAUGUGAGCAUAGACCUAUCUCCAACUAGUUUAAAUGAAGUCAUGAUUCCUAAGAUUGGAAUGACUUUUAUAUCUGAAGAUGAAGUUCGUAAUUUUUAUAAAUCCUAUACUCAGAAUGUUGGUUUUGGUAUUUCUAAAUUAGGUGGUAAAAAGGGAGAUGAUGCAAAGCAAAAAUAUUUUUGUUUUGGAUGUGCCAAAAGUGGUAAAACAGUAUCUAAUGCCAAAAAUGCUUUGUACCCUAGACCUUCUACUAAGACAAAUUACAAAGCUAAGAUUAAUGUUGUUAUUCGGAAUGAUGAUAACUUUGUGAUAAGUAGUGUAUCUCUUGAACAUAAUCAUGUCUUGAGCCCGGGAAAAUCAUGACAUUUUAGAUGUAAUAAAUUAUUGGAUUCAACUACAAAGAGGAAACUUGAAUUAAAUGAUCAAGCAGGAAUUACUUUAAGUAAAAGUUUUCAUUCAUUGGUAGUUGAGGCUGGAGGCUAUGAGAAUUUGACAUUUGAUGAGAGAAAGUGUAGGAAUUAUAUUUCAGAAGCUAGAAGGUUGAGGUUAGGGGAUGGAGAUGCUGAGGCCUUGAGUAAUUAUUUUUGUCGCAUGCAAAGUCGGAACUCUAAUUUCUUUUAUAUACUUGAUUUAGAUGAAGAGUCUCGAAUAAGAAAUGUUUUUUUGGAUAGAUGCAAGAUGUAGGGCUGCAUAUCAUUACUUUACUGAUGUUGUGACUUUUGAUACAAGUUAUUUGACUAAUAGUUAUGAUAUGUCAUUUGCUCCUUUUGUUGGGGUGAAUCAUCAUGGUCAAUCCAUUUUGCUUGGAUGUGGAUUGUUAUCAAGUGAAGAUUCAGAAACAUUCAUAUGGUUGUUCAAAUCUUGGCUGACAUGUAUGUUUGGGCGUGCUCCAAAGGCGAUAAUCACAGACCAGUGUCGUGCCAUGGCAAUUGCUAUUGAAGACAUAUUUCUGGAUUCUCAUCAUCUUUUGUGUCUUUGGCAUAUAAUGAAAAAAUUACCAGCAAAAUUAGGUGGGCAUGCUCAAUAUAAGCUGAUAAAGAAACAAUUGAAGACUAUUGUGUACAACUCACUUACUAUUGAUGAAUGUGAUGAGAAUUGGAUGAAAAUGAUUUAGGUUUUUAAUUUAGAGAACAAUGACUAGUUGAAAUAUUUGUAUGAAUAGCGGAAUAGAUGGAUACCUAUGUAUGUCAAAGAUAAGUUUUGGGCAGGUAUGCCCACAUCCCAAAGGAGUGAAAGUAUGAAUGUUUUUUUUGAUGAAUAUGUUCAUUCGAAAACUUCUUUGAAGCAAUUUGUUGAACAGUUUGAUAAUGCUCUGAAGAAGAAGAUUGAAAAAGAAAAAAAUUGGAUUUUGGUUCUUUUAAUUCUAUGAUGCCAGUAAUUUCUGGUUAUCUUAUUGAAAGAUAAUUUCAAAGUUUCUACACUAACAACUUAUUUAAGUUGUUCCAAGAUGAGAUAAGAGGGUUGAUGUUUUGCAAUACCUCACUAGUGAGGAAAGAAGGGGUUGCUUUUAUAUUUGAAGUGGUAAAAACUUUGUUGGGAAAAAAUGGAGACCCUAUAAGAGAUGUUUCCUUCAGGGUAGAUUAUGCUGAGUUAGAUUGUCAAGUUAAGUGUCUAUGCCAUCUUUUUGAGUUUCGGGGAAUUUUAUGUAGGCAUGUGAUCUCUGUGUUGAUACGAGUGAAGGUAAUUGAGGUUCCUAUGAAUUAUAUUAUGGAUCGAUGGUGCAAAGAUAUUAAGCGUGGUUAUCAAAGUAUCACUAACAUUUAUGAUGAAUAUGUUUGUGAUGGAGAAAGACAUCGGUAUAAUAUUCUCACUCCAUUGAUGCAAGAGGUUCAACAACUUGGGGCAAAUAAUGACGACGGUUGUUCUGUUUUGAUGGAAAUCUUGAAAGAUGCGAAGGAAAAAUUGAUUGCUAUUCAAAUAGAUCAUUCAAGAGUCGACCAAUUGAAAGAAGCAUCUACAUCGAGUUCAAAAACAAUACACUCUCCAUUAAAAGUAAGAUCUCGAGGCCGUUCACCCACAAAGAGGAAACAAUCUAAGAUUGAACAAAUUAUGAAGAAAUCAGUUGCAAAGGCCAGAAGAAAGGUCAUUCAUUCUGUGACAACCAGCCAAUCAACAACAUAAUGAUGACGACGACAAUCAUUCAAUUCUUUCUGUUCUCAGCAACCAGGAGCUAGUGAUCAGAGAGGUACAUCUGGGCAAACGUCAGUGUCAAAACACAUUAUUUUAUGUCAGUGUCAAUAACUAAUCAACAUUCUAAUUGGCAUCAUGCAUAUUGAUAUUCUGUGAUGCAUAAGACCAUGCAACUCAGACCACAGGAAUCUUGCGUGUUCAGGUUUUUGGUGUGGCCAUAGAUUCGAGUUCAGGCUUGUCAGGGGCUAAGAAGGCAGUCUAUAUGAUGCUUGUUUCUUGUGUUUCUAAGCUUGUUCAAUGCUGUGUGAUGGUUAAUUGUAGCUAUGCAUGCCAUUUUGUAGUUGAACUGAUGACAAAUCUGUAUCUGUGUUUGCAAAGCAAUUUUAUGAAACUCGUAUAAGAAA